rfam:Triticum aestivum genome assembly, contig: Triticum_aestivum_CS42_TGACv1_scaffold_320581_4BL
CUGCUACUCCCUCCGUUUGGAAUUACUUGUCUCGGAAAUGGAUGUAUGUACAACUAAAAUUUGUCUAAAUACAUCCACUUCUGCGACAAGUAAUUCCGAAUGGAGGGAGUACUAG